CACGUGGCCGGCGCCAGUCAGGAGACUCAGCUGCCGCGCCAGCGCUAACGAGCAAGGACCGCUGAGCGUGGAACUGGCGCUUUCAUGGAAAAUAUUCAAAAGCAGAUGGCCUCUGGAUUAGUGCCAGAGCUGUUCCCGGGGCAGAGAAGCAUCUAGACUUUGUCACUACCAGGGGUGCGGCUCCACCCGAGCCUCUAGAAAUGAGGGAGAGGACGACUCUGUCCUUCUACAAUUUAGAUGUAGCCAGGAUGAAACGGCACGGACAGGCUUUCCAGCAGGGAGCCUGGUGAAGCCUGCGUCACGUGGCCGAUAGAGCGGUCCCUCCUCCAUCCCUGUUACCCACACCGCUGUGUACUCAUCUCCAAACCUGCAGUAGGAA